UUGUAGAUCACAAAAAUGAAAACUGCGUACAACAGCGUCGUUGUGAUUUGCUUUUUUGGCUUUCUUGUUUGGUUUAGCCUUAAUUCAAGAAGAAAACUGAUGAUAAAAGGUCCACCAUCGCUUACAGUCAACCAUCAAAGGAUUCUUGACGAAGUAUUUGCUACUAUAGCGAGCACUAAAGACAUCAUAUGGUGAAAGAUUAUCGGAAUGUAAUCUGCGAUGAGGAGAUUCGUUAUAUCUUUCCACAAUUAAAUGUAUUUUUUCCCAUUCAGAAAGAUAUGCUUGUGCUCGUUUUAAAUUUUGUUCCAUAGUAUAUCAAUAAAGUUAAGAGAAAACAGCAAAAAGAACACACUUAUAUAUAAAAUAAAAUGGGUAAAAGUGAAAUAGGUAAAAUUUAUGAA